CGGUGAUCCUGGUGCUUGCACCGGGUGAUCAGUGGCGAACGGGUGAGUAACACGUGAGUAACCUGCCCCAGACUCUGGGAUAACUUCGGGAAAUCGGAGCUAAUACCGGAUACGAGACGCACACGCAUGUGUAGCGUCUGGAAAGAAUUUCGGUCUGGGAUGGACUCGCGGCCUAUCAGCUUGUUGGUGGGGUAAUGGCCUACCAAGGCGACGACGGGUAGCCGGCCUGAGAGGGCGACCGGCCACACUGGGACUGAGACACGGCCCAGACUCCUACGGGAGGCAGCAGUGGGGAAUAUUGCACAAUGGGCGCAAGCCUGAUGCAGCGACGCCGCGUGGGGGAUGAAGGCCUUCGGGUUGUAAACCCCUUUCAGCAGGGAAGAAGCGAGAGUGACGGUACCUGCAGAAGAAGCGCCGGCUAACUACGUGCCAGCAGCCGCGGUAAUACGUAGGGCGCAAGCGUUGUCCGGAAUUAUUGGGCGUAAAGAGCUCGUAGGCGGUUUGUCGCGUCUGCUGUGAAAACCCGAGGCUCAACCUCGGGCCUGCAGUGGGUACGGGCAGACUAGAGUGCGGUAGGGGAGACUGGAAUUCCUGGUGUAGCGGUGGAAUGCGCAGAUAUCAGGAGGAACACCGAUGGCGAAGGCAGGUCUCUGGGCCGCAACUGACGCUGAGGAGCGAAAGCAUGGGGAGCGAACAGGAUUAGAUACCCUGGUAGUCCAUGCCGUAAACGUUGGGCACUAGGUGUGGGGCUCA
rnacentral:rRNA from 1 species